rnacentral:rRNA from 1 species
UACGUAGGGGGCAAGCGUUGUCCGGAUUCAUUGGGCGUAAAGAGCGUGUAGGCGGCCAGGUAGGUCGGUUGUGAAAACUGGAGGCUCAACCUUCAGAGGUCGACCGAAACCAUCUGGCUAGAGUCCGGGAGAGGAGAGUGGAAUUCCUGGUGUAGCGGUGAAAUGCGCAGAUAUCAGGAAGAACACCGGUGGCGAAGGCGGGUCUCUGGGCAGUAACUGACGCUGAGGAGCGAAAGCGUGGGGAGCGAACAGG